CAGCCUCCAAAACAAUACAGAGAAACUCUGUCUCGUAAAAACAAAAAACAAAAAAAAAAAGACUAGGCAUAAACCCUCAUGUCAAGGCUAGAUGAGGCAACCAAGUAGGAGGGAAAGGCUUCCCAAAACAGAGUCAGAGACAGCCCCCUCCAUUCUCACUAUUAGGAAUCUCACAAAAAACCCAAGCUAAACAACCCAUGACAUAGAUGCAGACAACCUGGGUCAGGCCCACACAGACUCCCUGGUUGUCAUUUCACUCUCUGUGAACCCUGCUUAGUUGCUUCAGUGGUUAUGAGUUGCUUAGUUGCUCUGGCUCCUACAAUCCUUCCAUCCUCUCUUAUGUGGAGUUCCAAGCUCUGUCUAAUGGUUGACUAUAGGUCUCUGCAUCUGCUCUCAUUAGUUGCUGGCUGAAGCCUCUCCGAUGACAACUGAACCAGGCACCAAUUUAUGAGUAUAGCAGAAUAUCAUUUUAAUUGACCGUUUCAUUUUGCCAGUCAUGUUUGGUUCUUUCUCAAGUACCUGACCUAUCAAGCCUCUGGUUUCUGGUCAUGCAAGCAGUGUCAGGCUUGGGUUCCCUCUCCUGGCUUGGGUCUUAAGUUAGAAGAGUCAUUGGCUGGCCACUCCAACAAGUUUGGUGCCACCAUUACCCCAGCACAUCUUGCAAACAGGCCAAGUCAAAGGUCCAAGCUUUUGGGGCUGGAUUGAUAUCCUUGUCCCACUGCUUGAAGCGUUUUGUCGUGACACAAGAUGGCCAUUUCAGGCUCUGUAUCCCACAUGACUGGGAGUCUUUGCUAGGAUUACCCUCAUAAUAUACCAGGGAGUUUCCACCACAUUAGGUUUUCACAUCACAUCCAAAUGUCUCCCCCAUUCCAGUAGUCUAUCCAUCACCCUCCCUCUGCCUUCUCCCUACUGUUCUCAUUCCUACCCACAACUGUCCACCCACAAAAUCUCUUCUAUUUCUGCUUCCCAGGGAGAUAGAGUUCCGUGUGUCCUGCCUUGAGCCCUCAUUGUUACUUAGCAUCGCUGGGUCUGAAUCUUAAAGAAAGGUCUGGUGAUGAGCCAUGAACUUUGAAAGUAAUUUUCAGUUGUCCUACCCUUAAAUCUAGACUAGCCUUGAAAGACUGGUGAUUUACCCUUCGUUCUCAGGAAGCAUGAGUCAUCCCAGAAAUAAACUAUUUUUUGCUCUUAGGAUGUGAGUAGACUGUAUGAUAUUUUUUUGUGAUUUCCUUCUAAUGUAGUUAGAAUUAGAGUAAAGGGUGUAAAGCAGGGAACAGAGAUGGUUGCUUCUAAAACUCUAAUCUGUGUCUCAAAACUCCUGAUGGCACUGAUUAUAUUAGAAAGAAACAUAUGCUUCAGGACAUACAGUUUGAACUCUCAAAGAUACCAGUGUAAAAAGGAUUUUAUUUUUGUUGUUUCCAUUUCCUCACAAAUGUGAAUAGAGUGGCAAUGAACACAGAUGAGCGUGUGUGUGUGUGUGUGUGUGUGUGUGUUCUACACAGUAAGGUGAAAAAUAAAUUUUUCCAAGGUGAGUCUUUUGAGAAAGUGACCUUUUAAGACUUCUUAGUAAUGAUACUGAAAAUAUCACCCAAAGUUAUGGUACCCUGGAACUAUGACAUGACUCUGCCUGAGCUGCUCUGUGGAAACCACCAACAGAGCUGGAAACGAAAUGGAUGUUUCAAAGGAAGAAAACCUUGCUUCGUGGUGUUUUGACUCCAUGGGUUGUACCCUGCAGUAAUAGUGCUGUUAUAUUUUCUGCAACCACAGGAAGUCCGUUUGAGCACAAUAAUUCCCACCUAUCCAGCCUCCUCAGUGUGUCUCAUCUAGAAUGAACUCAAACCUUGGUUCUUGUGGUUUUCCCAACCCACCUGACAACACCCUAGCUGAUUCUUCUCUCUGUCCAAGAUAUGUCUUUUGUGAAUUGCUUCCUACAAAUGAGCAAUAACAACCAUUGCAUCUCUGCUCAUUUGUCCCUAAGUUUGUAUAUAAAGGCUUGUAAACAACUGGGGCUGCAUUUCAGCAAACAGCUAUUUCAGAAAUGAGCACUAUAACUUGUCUUUCAAAUCCCCUAUCUAACACAAUUAAACUUGAAUUUCAUGAAGUAAAGACUUAGUGCUGUAAUUUGGUUGCAUAGCUCUGUUCUUCACCAUACUUUCUCUGUAUGUACAGUGGUGUUUUUCAUUGCAUAAAAUCAUUAACAAGCAUUCAGCAGUGAAUGAAAUAAUGCAUCAGGUAUCCUGCUGAUAAGGUAUUAAAUAAAUUAUGGAAUUUUCUGACAGAUGGUAACUAUGUCCAUUUGUUGCAAAAUGCCUAUUCCUUUUACAAAUAUUUUCACCUUAUUUUUCCAUAAUUAUGUUUUGUCUCUUUAUUAAUAUCACAUUGUUUAACUAUUUCAUGCUCACAUACAGAUAUCCAUAGUUCACUGCAAAAUUAUGUCUUAAGAAGUAUAUUUCAGUCAUUAAAUUUAGUCUCAAAACAAUGAGGUACUUCUUAUACUGUAUAUAUGAUUGCCCUUUAUCAGCACUUAUAAUCGUAUUCUCUAUUCUACCAAGAAUAUUGAUAAAUUCAUGAGUGCUAUAAUUAUAAGGGUCUUACCCUGCUACAUUUAAGGCAUUUUAAGAAAGACGUCAAAUAAUUGUAUUUCUAUGGAUUAAUUUGAAUAUGUGUGAUUCCCAGACUCUGUUUAAUUAAAUAUAUAUAUAAUUUUAUAAAUUAAAUUUGUGAAAGAGAAGAAAUUUCAAUGAAUAUCUUAUUAGUAGAAUUGCGUUUAUUAGCAUCUAGGUAUUCCACAAAGACAACCAUAGAUUUUGACAAAGGUGUAUGGUACUCUGUACACUAGCAAACUGGAUCUUUAAAUGCAUUUUUGUUUUGUUCUAGCAUAUCUUUAUAUUAGCUCUUACAAAUUAAUUUAGAAAAAUGGCAUAAUAUAUAAACUCAAAUGCUCCCUGUGCCUGUCUCCUUGACCAUAGAUACCUCCAGAACUAAAGCUUCAAGAGAAAAAAAGGUACGAUUUAAAGGAUCAGACAAGUAUAUAAUUCAUCAUUUAUUUCAUUUAUUUCAUUUCCUACAAAACUAAUUUCUUCUCCUUUAAUUAUUGUGCCAUUAUGUUAUUGUAUAGCUCAUUCCUUAUAGAAGCAGAAAUUCCAUAUAGACAAGUCCUUUAUCCUUUAUCUUCAUUUUAAGGUCCUUUGUCAUUUGAGGGAGUAGAAUUACUAUCUUUUCUACAUCUUUUCAUUGUUAAAAUUGCUAAAUACUAUCUUCUUAUCCCUUUAAAAGACAUGAACCAAAGUCAAACUGAAAAGUCCAUGCUCCUGUAAUUGGUGUAUCAGGUUAUUUUGAAAGUUUGGACUCCUCAGACGAUGCCUCAGGGAGUUGACAUGUCACACGGCAAAGGAGAAGCGCUUAUAGCCAUGUUGAAGUUGACCUCCUCUCCCCUUCAACUUCAAUGAAAUCUAAGCAGUCAUCUACCUCAUCUCAUUUUAUUUGCAGUUGUGGGACUCAUCUGCUUCACUUGAAUUUCUUUGCCAACAGUCUUCUCGAUUUUAUUUCCCAACACACCCUCUUUUUACACAUAAACUUCCCUAUUUAUAUGUAUAAGCUCCUGAACUAAACCCAAUUAAACUGCAGUAAUCCUUGGCUUGAAUCUUCCUUUACUAUGCCAAUGUAUGCCAGGAAAUGUUCUAUACUACAAGAUAACUAUAUGACACAGAAGUUUUUAAUUAGGUUUUUGAAAAGUUCAGAAAUUAUGAUUAUUUACACAAACAAAGGUACUUUAUGGAAUGAAUUGUGCUAUUUCAUAAAUUUAUGAAACAAUGCUCCCAAGAAAUUACUAGACAGAUGAAUACAUCAUUAUAGACUUGAGGGAAAACAGAGUAGAAAAAAAUAGAACCAAGCCUUAAUGUUUGCAUCAUCUGAAUUUACUAAUAAUUUAAUUGCUCUCACACUAGGCUCUUAGAACAUAUAGGUCAUCUAAACCAGAUUUGACCUGCACAGAAAGUGGAGGCUCUGUCAAUUUGAAAAGUAUUGUUUUACUAAGACAAUACAAGAUAAACACAAUAAUAACCUGAGAAUGUACAAUACUGAAUCCAAUUCUACUGCGAUUCUGCACAGAAGCAUCUGUUGCUCUUUGUUUUUGCUGAAGAAAUCUAUAAGCAAUACUGGGCUUAACCACAGGUGAGAGAAAGAAGCAAUGACGUUGGUUCUCCAACACUGGAACCCAAGUGUUCAAUUUUUUUGGACAGAUUUUGGGUUGACAAAUACCUUGUAAAUCACAGUAGAACUAGAAAUCUCUAUUUAUAAAGGCCAAAAUGGUCCAAUUUAAGAUAUCCUAAUGUAUAAUGGCUUAGCCUGGGAAUACAGAAUCAGUGCAAAUGCCGAAUGAAUUAUUCCUUUUAAAAACAAAUAAGGAGACUUUUCCCUUCCCAGGAAAAAAUGUCCUUUAUUCUCCUGUAGGUUGACAUGAAUUCUAGUUCACCUGGAAUGUACUCAAAAACACCUACCUUCUCAUUGACACAUAUACAAGCUAACUAAAGCACUUUCGUUUUUCCAAUAGCUAAGAUGAUGUUUGUACUGUCUCUAGUGGUUCCCUUAGUCACUUACUCAUCUUGCUUGUGCUUACUAGAAUGUCAUGUUCCAUAAAUCAUCCACUUACUCUGUACCAUUGUAUGAGAAAACAGGACUAAAACAGAACGAACAACUGCUUCUCCAGGGCUUGGUUUCCUAACAGUAUGCCUUUGUGGGCUGAUAUGAAAGUGUGUCAAACUAUGAGUUUUCCUCCAAAGGAACCAUUUUUCCCAUCCAAAGAAACCUUUUCCUUGAAACCAAUUGAUCUGGGUAAUGGCCUCUUAAAGUGACUAGGAUUGCUUUGACUUUCAUAUUUUGGGAAUUUCUUACUUCAUGGAACUUGAUCAUGUAUUAAUCAGUCAGGUUGGGUUUUACAAUGAGGUGAAUAAAGCAAAUGCACUUUCAAAACUAAUGGCAAGAAAUAUCUAAGAUGUGAUCAUAUUGGAUUACAAUUUAAAUUCACAUGUUAUUGAACAUAUUACAUAUGCAUGUCCAUAGUUCCAAAUAAUGUUAGAGAAUUUUGAGUGUCAUGCUUAGCAAAGCACCUUUGAUUUAUAGAUUUUAGGAAAAAGUGUAAGGAAAAAAACAGUAGUACACUCUUCUUUGUAUAUAUGAAGCUAGUGUCGGGACACUGGAACAAACAAGAAUGUAGUGAACAUUUCACCUGUAUUCUAUUCUACAAAAUAAAAUUAAUACUCAUUCA